UUUUAUGGAGAGUUUGAUCCUGGCUCAGGAUGAACGCUGGCGGCGUGCCUAAUACAUGCAAGUCGAGCGAACGGACGAGAAGCUUGCUUCUCUGAUGUUAGCGGCGGACGGGUGAGUAACACGUGGAUAACCUACCUAUAAGACUGGGAUAACUUCGGGAAACCGUAGCUAAUACCGGAUAAUAUUUUGAACCGCAUGGUUCAAAAGUGAAAGACGGUCUUGCUGUCACUUAUAGAUGGAUCCGCGCUGCAUUAGCUAGUUGGUAAGGUAACGGCUUACCAAGGCAACGAUGCAUAGCCGACCUGAGAGGGUGAUCGGCCACACUGGAACUGAGACACGGUCCAGACUCCUACGGGAGGCAGCAGUAGGGAAUCUUCCGCAAUGGGCGAAAGCCUGACGGAGCAACGCCGCGUGAGUGAUGAAGGUCUUCGGAUCGUAAAACUCUGUUAUUAGGGAAGAACAUAUGUGUAAGUAACUGUGCACAUCUUGACGGUACCUAAUCAGAAAGCCACGGCUAACUACGUGCCAGCAGCCGCGGCAAUACGUAGGUGGCAAGCGUUAUCCGGAAUUAUUGGGCGUAAAGCGCGCGUAGGCGGUUUUUUAAGUCUGAUGUGAAAGCCCACGGCUCAACCGUGGAGGGUCAUUGGAAACUGGAAAACUUGAGUGCAGAAGAGGAAAGUGGAAUUCCAUGUGUAGCGGUGAAAUGCGCAGAGAUAUGGAGGAACACCAGUGGCGAAGGCGACUUUCUGGUCUGUAACUGACGCUGAUGUGCGAAAGCGUGGGGAUCAAACAGGAUUAGAUACCCUGGUAGUCCACGCCGUAAACGAUGAGUGCUAAGUGUUAGGGGGUUUCCGCCCCUUAGUGCUGCAGCUAACGCAUUAAGCACUCCGCCUGGGGAGUACGACCGCAAGGUUGAAACUCAAAGGAAUUGACGGGGACCCGCACAAGCGGUGGAGCAUGUGGUUUAAUUCGAAGCAACGCGAAGAACCUUACCAAAUCUUGACAUCCUUUGACAACUCUAGAGAUAGAGCCUUCCCCUUCGGGGGACAAAGUGACAGGUGGUGCAUGGUUGUCGUCAGCUCGUGUCGUGAGAUGUUGGGUUAAGUCCCGCAACGAGCGCAACCCUUAAGCUUAGUUGCCAUCAUUAAGUUGGGCACUCUAAGUUGACUGCCGGUGACAAACCGGAGGAAGGUGGGGAUGACGUCAAAUCAUCAUGCCCCUUAUGAUUUGGGCUACACACGUGCUACAAUGGACAAUACAAAGGGCAGCGAAACCGCGAGGUCAAGCAAAUCCCAUAAAGUUGUUCUCAGUUCGGAUUGUAGUCUGCAACUCGACUACAUGAAGCUGGAAUCGCUAGUAAUCGUAGAUCAGCAUGCUACGGUGAAUACGUUCCCGGGUCUUGUACACACCGCCCGUCACACCACGAGAGUUUGUAACACCCGAAGCCGGUGGAGUAACCUUUUAGGAGCUAGCCGUCGAAGGUGGGACAAAUGAUUGGGGUGAAGUCGUAACAAGGUAGCCGUAUCGGAAGGUGCGGCUGGAUCACCUCCUUUCUA
rnacentral:rRNA from 1 species